GAGAGAGCUAUAUAGUCCCUUAGUCAUGUAAAGGCUGACCCUUCCCCACUGGUCUAAAAGAGGGCUUCUGGACCAUGCCUGACCACAGCCAUCUGAUCCUGUAGAGCCUUUAACCCAGUACCUCUGUUUAAAGAAACAAAAGUCCCCUCCUAAAUAAACAAAGCAGGCUUAGCUCAAAUCCCUCCAAUAGGUAAAAGAAAGUACCAUUCCCAUGAGCGAGAGACUUGGAUUUCUGAUUUUAUUUCAUGUUGUUUCCCUUCCUCAAAGGUGUGAAACUCUACACCACCCCACUCCUUUCCUAUUCAUCCUCCAUUGGAUGUUUUUUUCUCUAAAUAAUUUUUUAUUUUCUAUUUUUGUCUGUAUGUGUUCUCUUCUUGCAGUCUACUUCUGCCCUUCUUUCCCCUGGGAAGGAAAAAUAGAAGAAAGAAGCCAUCUCUGUUUGCUUUCUCUCUGUCACUCAAUGUCUGGAGCCAACUGCUUCACAAAUAAAGAAAAGUGCCCAGAGAGUCCCUGAAGCCCACCAUCAACAGACAGGCUUUCAACAAAACUGCAUCAGCACCACCUUGGCUAUAGCUGCCCUCUGCAGAAAACGGGGAGAGAGGAACAGUGCUAAGAGAAGUUUGUCCUUGCCUGGUUCCUGGGUGGAACUUCCUCUCCCCCUUGUGUUCUACACGUGUGGUUACAGCUGCCUCUGAUCUUUGGUGACCAGCGGUGGGCAGUGGUGGUAUUUUAGCAUACUUUGAUCAUCAUACUUAUUACACAGCCUCCUUUACUCAUCAACCCCACCUGCCUUUUCCUAGCCAUGCCCCCCACCUCCUCCCAUCUCUGUCCACCUCUCUGCUGUUUUAAAAAGUACUUAAGUGUGUACAGAUCACAGUGCACUGCUUGUGUGCCCAUUCAUAUUUGAUGACUUCCAUAUCCCCCGUACAACUAGUUGUGUAUUCGUUUUAAUUCACCUUAUUUAUUUCCUAGCUCUUUCAUAAAAUAAAAUGAAAUAAAAGAAUAAAAUGGGAAUAAGAGAAAAAUAGAAUUGAGGGGGAAAGGAGAAAUGCAUCUAUGUUUUUAAUCAGGUUCAUCUUUCUCCAUGCAUCAAUAUGCAUACUAUUAUGAAUUCAUUACACGUAUUUUAACAUGCAGGCACUACACGGGGGUGUGAUGUCUACAUACCACCUGUGUAGCGGUAGGCACUGCAAAAGGACAUAGAAAAGUAAAAAGCAUAGUCUCUACUCUCAUGAGACUUUUCAUCUCAUGGAGGAGGCACUCAUAAGGUCUUUUAUCUGUGCCCCACUUGAUGUGAAACUCUUGGUAGUCAUGAUCCUAUUUGAUUUCCAUAAGCAGAAGAGGGGUCACUGUUUCCAUGUUAUGAGAGAGGAAACUGAGGUUCAGAGAGUGGAAGGACCCUGAUGAGAUAAUAAAUAGAACUGGGGCUCAAAUCCUGGUCUCCUGACUCAACAUUUCGCGUUCUUUCCACUGUGUCAUUAUUCAUUAAGCAAGUUUCUCUGCAGACAACUCACAGAGCCACAACGUAUGAAGCAGCAUGGUGAUGCCAGUAGACUGGUCAUCAUCAAAAGACAUGGCCUGGGGGAAGAGAAAGCAAGAGAGCUGGAGAGAGCAGAGAACGCAUGAGGGAAGGGCUUGGCCGUGCAGUUCUAACAGGGAGGUCCUUCCUUUCAGCCCCCGAAUGUCCCAGUGUGUCUCAUCUAAAAAGCGAAAACGGAGGAGAACUAGAGCUUAUGGUUGAAGGCGUGAGAAUGAGUACAGACUGGAUUUCCAUGGAAGAAAGAAAAUCAACAUGUAUUGGGAGUCAACGUCUCAUUCAAUCCUGUGAGUUUAUUCUGCCUAUUUUUCAGAUAAGGAGACUAAGGCUUCAAGAGGGUAAGUAAAUCACCCACAGUGUCACUGCUGUUGUGGGAAUGAGCGUCAGGAUCAUUGAAUCAUGCUGCUUCCCAGGUUUCUUGUAAGGGCUUCAAGUGUUGUGGGUAAGGGCUUGGGUGCUGCCAUCAGAUGACUGUGCGUUUAAAGCCUGAGCCCACCCACACCAGCUGUGUUACUUGAAACAUGCUAUUAAACUUGCCUAAACUUCAGUUUGCUCAUUGUAAGAUGGGAGCAGUAACAGUGCCCACCUCAUAGGACUGAUGAGCUAAAGCGUAUAAAGUACUAAUAAGUAUCUAAUAAAGUUCAGUAAUUAUGUCACUAUUAAUACCACUGUUAUAAUCACUACUGUUGUCUAAGGAGACCCAGGUGACAUGAAGCUAUUAUGCCCUUUGGACUUGAGAUCUUGAAUUAGGGUUUGAUUAUGAGACCAGACAAGCAGUGAGAUUUAAAUAUUCAUAGACCAGGGUCUAUCUAGGUCUCAUGGGACAAGGAGGGGACCCUCACAAUUGAUUUCCCUGAGAUGGGAGGGGAAACUCUGCUAGAGGCAUUUGCACCUUACUAAGCAUCUGUGGUGUAUCAAGCUCUCUGCCAGCUUGUGAGGAUGUAAUGUUCAUUAAGACAUGUUCCCAUGAGCUCUGGUCCAGAUUCUACCAGUAUGUAGCUGGACCACUGGUUUCUCCUAAGACAAACACAGGAGCCAGAUGACUCCUGUAGUCCCUUGUAGACCUAGUCCAGCCCUUGGUGGUUCUGUGAACAGUCACUCACCCAGGGUCUGUCCCAUAGAAGUGCCAGCAGUCUUCCCAGGGGAGCGAUUAGGAGACUCUUGCUCCUUCAUCCUCUGUGAGGGUUGAGAGCCUGAACAGCCUCCAGCCUGGGCCAAGUGUUCUUGGAGGAUGCACUUCCUUACCCUAGUCCCUCAUCAGUGCCUCCUGUAAGAGCUCCAAUGCUUUCUGAGCAAUUGACUCCUAUAUCCAUAUAUCCCUACCACUCCUCAAACCAAACUGCCAACCACCUCUAAGGCAGCUAUUGAUUUUACUGACCAUAAUGGAGUGUGUUCUGUGUGUAGUCACAGCACUAAACAUCAGAAGGGAUUCAAAGAGGAAUCAGGCUAAUGCCUUUCAUCCAAGGAACUGGCAGAUGGAUGAGCCAGAUUGGCACGCACACAGUCAGCACAAGGGUAUAGGCUGUGAUGGAGCUGGGUGUGCAGAGAACAGAGAGAGGAAUUAGCAUCCAGUUUCCAAUCCUAGUGCUAUAGCUGACAUUAAGGUAUUCUAUUACUCUCUCCAGACACAGCCAACUUUAUUCCUCAAGGUAAACACUUACUCUAUGCCAAUAACUAUGCCAAGGAUGCUUAUGCAUUAUAUUAAUUAAUGAGAGUUUCUCAACCUCAACACUGUGGACACUUUGGGCUGGAUAAUUCUUUGUUGUGGGAGCUGCCCUGUGCAUUGCAGGAUGUUUAGCAGCACCCCUGGCCUCUGUCCACCAGACACCAGCAGCACCACCCCCUUCCCCAGUUGCGACAACCAAAAAUGUUUGCAGACAUUGUCAAGUGUCCCCUGGGGACAAAGUCACCCUCAGUUGGGAACCACUAAGGGAAUCCUAAUAUAGACCAAUGACAAAGGUACAACUAUUAUUUCUACUUUACGGUAAACUGAGGCGUAACAAGGUUAAACCACAUGUUCAAGUCACAUAGGAAGAGCUGGGAGGUGGGCCAAUCUGUUUCCACAGCCCUUACGUUUAUUGUCCUUCCUGCUUUGCCUAUCUCUGCACGCAUGGUGCUGAGGACUCUGUAAUACUUAAUAAACCCAUGCAAAGGUGGACCAUUUCUUAUGGCAAUCCCUACUAUUUAUACUACAUUUACUACCUUACCUUCUGUAAACCACACUACAACUCUACAGUGUAGCUUCCUGCUCCCAUUUUAUAAAGGAGCACACUGAGACCUAGAUUGACAGGAGGGGAUUGCCCCAAGUCACAGAGCAGAGCAGCCACCAGAGGCUGGCUUUGGGCCCACGUCUUGUAAUUCUACACUCUCUAAUACUCAGAGAGUUGAGUAAACACCAAUUAAACUAUGGGAGGAUGGCAGGCUGGCAGGCAACUUAAUAAAAAAAAAAAGCAAAUCCAUCAUGAUGGAUAUAUUUAGCAGGUAAAUUAUUAUGUGAUGGUAUAAAAAUAGAUCAAGAGAGAGCACAUGAGAUUGCAAGCCUGACUGUGUGAGAGACAGGGAAGGCACGUGGAGAGUGUCAGGUACAUUUAAUUAACUUUGCUGGGAAAACAGUCAGAGGCUGCCACCUGAAACCAAAACAUUCAUGGGCUUCACUUAAAGUCACAAUAUAUGUAGUCCUAUUGGGAAGAGUCAUAAUCCAAUAAAGCUUGAAGUCAUUGAUUAAAACAAUGUCAAUGCUCAAAUGCUUUGGUGGGUAAACCCAAUUCUCAUCUGUAUAUGGGAUAACCAGGAAUGCAUUUGUGGGCUGUGUGACCCACAAGCUCGCUGACAUUAAAAUGGUCCACUCAGUUUUCUGCUCAGAUGGAUUUCCAAGAGAGAAGGAAAUCAACAUGUAUUGAGAGUCAACAACUCAUUCAUUGCUGUGAGUUUAUUCUGCCUAUUUUAGACAAAGAGACUCAGGCUUCAAGAGGGCAAGUAAAUUGCCCAUACUGCCACCGCUGGUGCAGGAAUGAGCUUCUGGGAAGAGUCAGGUUCAUUGAGUCCUGCUACCACCAGGUACCUCAUGAGGCCAUCCAGUCUUGCGGCUAAGGGUUUAGGUGCUGCUGUCCAGACGAUUGUGAGUUUAAAUCCUGGGCCCACCCACGCCAGCUCUGUUACUUGAAGCAUGCUAUUGAACUUGCCUAAACUUCAGUUUGCUCAUCUGUAAAAUGGGAGCUAUAAUAGUGCCAGUCUCAUAAGACUGAUGGGAGAAUGUAAUGAGCUAAAGUGUGCAAAGCACUGAUAAAUAUCUAAUGAAAGCUUGGCAAUGAUAAAAUGCCAUUAUUAAUAUGGUUACCAUUGUGCUAAUGUCUAGAGGAGCCCCAUAUGGCAUGGAGCUAUACCCUGUGGACUUAUGAUCUCUCUUUAUUCCAUGCAAAAUGGAAAGUGUACAGUCAUGAAUCAGGGUUUGAGUGUGAGAGCAGACAAGUAGUGAUAUUUAAAUAUUCAUUAGCCAGGGUUCAUCUAGGUCCCUGGGGACAGGCGAGGAGCCUCAGGAUUAAUUUCAGGGGACUUUUCCCUGAAAUGGGUGGGGAAACUCUGCUAUGGUCAUGUACAUCUUAUUAAGCACUGCUUGACAUCCUCCCUACCACAAAAGUGCUGUGAUUUCAAGAUUUCCCUCUUUUACGGGAAAACCAUAGCACAAGAAUCUACACUUCAAACCUUAUAUCUAUCUAUUUAAGCACAGAAGGAGCCUGUUACUUCAUAGAAGAAUCAUAUUUUGCCUUCAGAAGAAGCAGUUAUCAAGUGCUCGCUGGACUUCAGCUGUUUUCACAUCCAUUUUAGUUUGAAACUCAAUUGCCCUGCAGACCUUGUGAUCCUUGAGUGACAGGUGAGGCACCUGAGAACAUGGGAGUGAAUGCACAUGCUCAUGGCUUUCCUGGAAUUUGUGGCAUUGGAAAAUGGAAGUGCCUGAGGCUACGGCAGACAUCCUAGCAGCAUCCCACCUGACAGAGGAGAUGAGAGUGGGGCUGGCGAGGGUUCAGGAAUCAGCUCUGGGUUCCAAUACUGUUUCCACCAGUCACUACUGGAGAUGGGCCCUUCCACAGCUCAUCGGUAGAGUUAGGAUAACAACAUUUACCAGCUUGUAAGAAAUAAAAUGGAUAAGUAUGUGAAGUUUCUAACAGAGUAUGGAUUUUGAUGAGCCUGAAUUCCAUCCUCUUCAUUCAACAAGCAUGUCUGAAAUCCACCUAUGUGCAAAGCGUUGUAUACUACACAAGUUUUACAGCUGGGUGAGUUGGCUUAUGUCUGUAAUCCCAGCACUUUGGGAGACUGAGGCAGGAGGAUUGCCUGAACCCAGGAGUUUGAGACCAG